rnacentral:rRNA from 1 species
AGCGAACGCUGGCGGCAGGCUUAACACAUGCAAGUCGAGCGGGCAUCCUUGUGGUGUCAGCGGCAGACGGGUGAGUAACGCGUGGGAACGUGCCCUUCUGUUCGGAAUAACUCAGGGAAACUUGUGCUAAUACCGGAUACGCCCUUUUGGGGAAAGGUUUACUGCCGAAGGAUCGGCCCGCGUCUGAUUAGCUAGUUGGUGAGGUUAUGGCUCACCAAGGCGACGAUCAGUAGCUGGUCUGAGAGGAUGAUCAGCCACACUGGGACUGAGACACGGCCCAGACUCCUACGGGAGGCAGCAGUGGGGAAUAUUGGACAAUGGGGGCAAGCCUGAUCCAGCCAUGCCGCGUGAGUGAUGACGGCCUUAGGGUUGUAAAGCUCUUUUCUCCGGGACGAUAAUGACGGUACCGGAGGAAUAAGCCCCGGCUAACUUCGUG